UCACUUUCUCAUUUUCUGCUGCCUGCAGCUGGAGAAAGCAAACGUCAAGGCAAAGAUAAUUUGGCCACUUUUGUGGCAAAAAUCUCUCAUUUUUAUAGCAUGUUGUAGAUCAAGUUCUAUUAUCAUAAACAAUCACUGAAUCCACUUGAGAUGAGAAAAGCAGGUAUUAUUUUUAUAAUUCCACAGAUGAUAAAAUGGAAGCCUUGAAAA
rnacentral:lncRNA from 10 species